rnacentral:rRNA from 1 species
UACGAAGGGUGCAAGCGUUCAUCGGAAUUACUGGGCGUAAAGCGCGCGUAGGUGGUUCGUUAAGUUGAAUGUGAAAGCCCCGGGCUCAACCUGGGAACUGCAUCCAAAACUGGCGAGCUAGAGUAUGGCAGAGGGUGGUGGAAGUUCCUGUGUAGCGGUGAAAUGCGUAGAUAUAGGAAGGAACAACAGUGGCGAAGGCGACCACCUGGGCUAAUACUGAAACUGAGGUGCGACAGCGGGGGGAGCAAACAGGAUUAGAUACCCGCGGAGACC